rnacentral:lncRNA from 1 species
AUGAAUAUACGAUUUGACCUUAGGUACAUAUGGAGCUUGCACAGGGAGGAGCAGGUCGUUGUGGGACAUGGAUCGUGGAUGCCAUGUUAAACGUUUAAACAUUUGAACUUAUGAUUCACUUUGGGUUCACAUACUUAUGCUUCCGCUGCUCAAAUUAUGUUUUGUUGGUUUGAACAUCAAUUGUAUUGAAUUGGGUUUUACGAACUACUUUAAUCAUUAUACAUUAUGUUCAAUAUGAUUGAUGGCUUGAUCCUGGUCAUGUCACGCCUCCAAGCGGUGGUACUCCACAAGUGGAUUUUGGGGGGGGGGGGGGUGUGACACUAUAUGUUAACCCUUGUAUGUUCUCUUGGGUUUUAAUGUAUUCUUGACGUUGGACCUACACCUAGGCUCCAAUUCUAUUGUCUAACUGCUUUCUGCAGAAUUGUUGACACAAUGUGUCUUACCGAUGAGUUUACUAGUAUUUCUGACGCAACACUGUUCAUUAAUGCAUAAAGUAAUUCUU